CAAAGGUCCGAAGUGCGGAAUCUGUCAAACUGUGAAAAAGUGGACAUACGACCUGUUUGACAGCAGUUUAAAAUUUUAUAUUAAAUAUUUUUAAAUAUAAAUAAUUUUCAUUAGUUUCAUUCAUUUCCUGUUAACACUUUUAUUUAUGUUCAAGUGCCUGAAUAAAACUAGCAGUGUUUAUUGAAGUUGGAGGGUUAUUGGAUAUCAAAUUAUAUCAGCCUUGGGUUGCUCAUCACUACGAAUGCAGCAUAUUACAACAUUAGAAUAGAAGAUGAUCAUAACAUUCUAAACAUAAUCAAAAUCGCCGAAUGCAUUGAUAGAAAUGAAUGAAUCUUUUCGAUUAGAAACCAACUUCCAAGAAGACGUACGGAUGUCGGAUACUCUGUGGUCGUGCUGAUUAUGUAUUGAAAAUGGAUCCCUGUGUAGAUCUAAUAUGGUGUUACACUCAUCAUUCGGAUUUCGGAAUGCAAUAUAUACCAAAAGGAGACGAUAUAAUCAAAUGGAUUAGAAACCCCAAAACCCAACAAUGGUAACGACUGUUAAAACCUUAACCGCCAUCGCAAACCAUGUCACAAGCCUACAUGCAGAUAUUCUUUUCAUGUCUCUGGGAAAAAGAACGUGAUGUAAAUGCUUUGCUAACCCAUCAACUCCGACAAAAACGAACUGGUCGAAACGCAAAUGACCACUGCAACAAGAUAAUAAUUAUUGCUUCUAAAAUGCUGCAGAAAAGUACAGUACAUACAUAACAAUCGGGACAAAUUCCUGAUAGACCCGAUUGCUUUCCAGACGGAUCUGUCUAGGAUUUUAAGUUAUAAUAAUCUAGGAGGCAUUUACUGAGUUGUAUGUAGUAAGAGAGGAAAUAUUUAUGUUCGGCUAUGGUUAGAAAGGAAAGGAAACAAAAAUACGAUUAAAGGCAUUUGUCUUCUCUUGUAUAAUAAAAAUGGUCUGUGUUCGUA